UGAGGAAUAUUGGUCAAUGGGCGCAGGCCUGAACCAGCCAAGUAGCGUGAAGGAUGACUGCCCUAUGAGCUGUAAACUGCUUUUGUACGAGGGUAAACCCCGAUACGUGUAUCGGGUUGAAAGUAUCGUACGAAUAAGGAUCGGCUAACUCCGUGCCAGCAGCCGCGGUAAUACGGAGGAUCCGAGCGUUAUCCGGAUUAAUUGGGUUUAAAGGGAGCGUAGGUGGACAGUUAAGUCAGUUGUGAGAGUUUGCGGCUCAACCGUAAAAUUGCAGUUGAUACUGGAUAUCUUGAGUGCAGUUGAGGCAGGCGGAAUUCGUGGUGUAGCGGUGAAAUGCUUAGAUAUCACGAAGAACCCCGAUUGCGAAGGCAGCUCACUGGACUGCAACUGACACUGAUGCUCGAAAGUGUGGGUAUCAAACAGG
rnacentral:rRNA from 1 species